rnacentral:rRNA from 1 species
CUACGGGAGGCAGCAGUAGGGAAUCUUCGGCAAUGGACGGAAGUCUGACCGAGCAACGCCGCGUGAGUGAAGAAGGUUUUCGGAUCGUAAAGCUCUGUUGUAAGAGAAGAACGAGUGUGAGAGUGGAAAGUUCACACUGUGACGGUAUCUUACCAGAAAGGGACGGCUAACUACGUGCCAGCAGCCGCGGUAAUACGUAGGUCCCGAGCGUUGUCCGGAUUUAUUGGGCGUAAAGCGAGCGCAGGCGGUUAGAUAAGUCUGAAGUUAAAGGCUGUGGCUUAACCAUAGUACGCUUUGGAAACUGUUUAACUUGAGUGCAAGAGGGGAGAGUGGAAUUCCAUGUGUAGCGGUGAAAUGCGUAGAUAUAUGGAGGAACACCGGUGGCGAAAGCGGCUCUCUGGCUUGUAACUGACGCUGAGGCUCGAAAGCGUGGGGAGCAAACAGGAUUAGAUACCCUGGUAGUCCACGCCGUAAACGAUGAGUGCUAGGUGUUAGGCCCUUUCCGGGGCUUAGUGCCGCAGCUAACGCAUUAAGCACUCCGCCUGGGGAGUACGACCGCAAGGUUGAAACUCAAAGGAAUUGACGG